GACGAACGCUGGCGGCGUGCUUAACACAUGCAAGUCGAACGCUGAAGCUUGGUGCUUGCACUGGGUGGAUGAGUGGCGAACGGGUGAGUAAUACGUGAGUAACCUGCCCUUGACUCUGGGAUAAGCCUGGGAAACUGGGUCUAAUACUGGAUACGACAUGUCACCGCAUGGUGGUGUGUGGAAAGGGUUUUACUGGUUUUGGAUGGGCUCACGGCCUAUCAGCUUGUUGGUGGGGUAAUGGCUCACCAAGGCGACGACGGGUAGCCGGCCUGAGAGGGUGACCGGCCACACAGGGAUGGAGACACGGCCCGGACACAGACGGGAGGCAGCAGGGGGGAUUAUAGAACAAUGGGCGGAAGCAUGAUGCAGCGACCCGCGUGAGGGAUGACGGCCUUCGGGUUGUAAACCUCUUUCAGCACGGAAGAAGCGAAAGUGACGGUACGUGCAGAAGAAGCGCCGGCUAACUACGUG
rnacentral:rRNA from 1 species